rnacentral:rRNA from 1 species
UACGAAGGGGGCGAGCGUUGUUCGGAAUUACUGGGCGUAAAGGGCGCGUAGGCGGCCUUGUUUGUCAGGCGUGAAAGCCCUGGGCUCAACCUGGGAGGUGCGUUUGGGACGGCAAGGCUAGAGUUCGGGAGAGGAGACUGGAAUUUACGGUGUAGCGGUGAAAUGCGCAGAUAUCAGGAGGAACACCGGUGGCGAAGGCGGGUCUCUGGGCCGAUAAUUGACGCUGGAGGAGCGGAAAGCGUGGGGAGCGAACAGG